CUGGAGGAAAAACAUCUUAAUUUAUUAGCGCACUUAGGAUAAGGAAAAGUAACAUUAUUUGGCAUGAUUACUUAAUUAAUAUCCAAGUGAUUUUGUUCAACAGAUUAUUAUGUCAUCUGUUGCAUAUUAAAGCCACUAGAACUUCUUCAUCAAUAAGAUGAUGUUUGAUAUGGGAGUGGAGUAAAUGCUCACUAGGAUUUUACUAACUUUCAUAUUUUCCAUUUCUUCCAGCUGGUAACAAUCAAUCAGCAGUGGCAGCCUAUAGAAGAGCUGGAAAAGGUCAAAAAGCUUACGAAGUGAGAAGUUUCUGUUGCCUGAAAAAGAUGUUUGUAACUGGAGGAAAGCACUGGAGCAUGCAUUCCAUGGUAUUUACCAAUAUAAGCCUUCAAGAAGUGUCCAAACUCCUUCCCAGUAAUUGACUGGGCAGUCUGUGCUAGCACACAACUCCUGCGAAGGCUGAGAGCGCUGCGCCAUCGCCUGGAGCAGCUGCGAACCGCCUGCAAGGCUCCAGGUGAGGAGAGUCUGUCCAUACAGGUGUGUCAGACUUGUUCUCACAGGGGAAACAGGAACACGAGAAACCUGUAAAAAAAAUGCAGAAUAAUUGUAUGCGUCUGUCCAUACAGGUGUGUCAGACUUGCUCUCACAGGGGAAACAGGAACGCGAGAAACCUGUAAAAACAAUGCAGAAUAAUUGUAUGCUACGUUGAACUAUAGAGCACCGUCUUAACUAUGAAAAGUGUUUUUCUCAAAAAUUCUGUUUUACACUUAAAAGGUCAGCUACUAGACUUAGGUAACUGCUUUUAUAAGUUCACGUUUCAUCAGUUUAUUUAGGGAUUUAUUAAUUAAUUUCUUCGUGUGUACUUUGGGAAAAGAAAUAGAAAGAUUGCAGGGACUUGGGUGCUCUUAAUGCACCUGAGAUAAAAGCAAAUUUUUAGUUUGCUUGCCAUCUGGGUCCUUUUGUUUAUUCAUCAGCUGAACUAAAAAUCCCUGUGUGUAUCAGUACUUAGUUUACUAUGUAAAACAAUGCAAAACACACUAUACAGAGAGCA
rnacentral:lncRNA from 1 species